UGGGGAAUAUUGCACAAUGGGCGCAAGCCUGAUGCAGCCAUGCCGCGUGUGUGAAGAAGGCCUUCGGGUUGUAAAGCACUUUCAGCGGGGAGGAAGGCGAUAAGGUUAAUAACCUUGUCGAUUGACGUUACCCGCAGAAGAAGCACCGGCUAACUCCGUGCCAGCAGCCGCGGUAAUACGGAGGGUGCAAGCGUUAAUCGGAAUUACUGGGCGUAAAGCGCACGCAGGCGGUCUGUCAAGUCGGAUGUGAAAUCCCCGGGCUCAACCUGGGAACUGCAUUCGAAACUGGCAGGCUAGAGUCUUGUAGAGGGGGGUAGAAUUGCAGGUGUAGCGGUGAAAUGCGUAGAGAUCUGGAGGAAUACCGGUGGCGAAGGCGGCCCCCUGGACAAAGACUGACGCUCAGGUGCGAAAGCGUGGGGAGCAAACAGG
rnacentral:rRNA from 1 species